UAGGGAAUCUUCCACAAUGGACGCAAGUCUGAUGGAGCAACGCCGCGUGAGUGAAGAAGGUUUUCGGACCGUAAAGCUCUGUUGUUGGUGAAGAAGGAUAGAGGUAGUAACUGGCCCUUUAUUUGACGGUAAUCAACCAGAAAGUCACGGCUAACUACGUGCCAGCAGCCGCGGUAAUACGUAGGUGGCAAGCGUUGUCCGGAUUUAUUGGGCGUAAAGCGAGCGCAGGCGGAAGAAUAAGUCUGAUGUGAAAGCCCUCGGCUUAACCGAGGAAUUGCAUCGGAAACUGUUUUUC
rnacentral:rRNA from 1 species